rnacentral:tRNA from 1 species
GAGGUUAUAGCUCAGUGGUAGAGUGUGUGCUUACCUUAGCAUGUACAAGGACCUGAGUUCAAUCCCCAGUACCUCU